GGAGCUUCCAAUCCAACUGAUAGUUUAAUCAGGUUUCAUAGGAGAGAUAUACUAGGCACAACCAUGAAUGAUUAAGCUAAGCUGUCGGUGAUGAUAUUUAAGUAAGAGACUUUCCGAGAUGAAGGGAAGGGUCAAUAUACUAGUAAUGAAGAAGAGAAGGACUAAGAAGUCGAUCAUCAAAAAGAAGAGGUCAUCUGGCGGCAUGGUGGACCUAUGUCCCCUUUGGUAUCAGAUCUUAUUCCUCUCAGGCAUAGUAUCGACAAUUAUUUUAUUAUUCAAGCAUGAUAUCCCUAAAAAAAAUUUGGAAUGUUAGUCGUUGAAGGCCAGUGCUGGAAAAAUCAUUUUUGGUCAACAUUGAAAAGUGUGAAUGAAUUCGUCACUCGCUUGUACGUCAAUGCCGGCUUCACCUUGCUGAUUCAAGGCACGAUCAAAGACCAUGGGCUCCUCUAGUGUGCUACACUUGUGUGUACGAGUCGUGGUUUGGGAAAGAUGCCAAGAUGUGGUUUCCUAUCCCGCACAUCAUAACGUCAUACUGCAACAAAUGAGAAAUCUCCCUUUCUUAGCUGAAUGUCGAGUAAAUUCGGAUUGUGGUUGCCCUAAUGGUUUCCUAUCCCGCACAUCUCAAUAUUUGUCAGGUUCUUCGAGGAGUUGGCAAUGGUUAGCAUAAAGAGCAACACGGGGUUUGCUCAUGUCAAGAUGUAGCCUUCUCACAAUAUUAUGACUGGUUAUCCUUCCAAAAACCAAAACUUUGCACAACAUUUUCUAUAUGAAGAUCAACGAGGCAGCUUUAGCCUAUGUUUGGGCCACUAACAUUCCAUGCUCAAGAUAUCGCGUUAAACGGAAAAGGGCCCCAAAAUCUGGAAUGUGAACCAAGAGAAAACUCCCUAAUUAUGCUGGCUAUUUGGCGAAACUUUGGUGGAAUUUUCCAGAAUCCAAUGCAUAUUUUGGACGACAUAGCGCUGGAUCAACACGAACCGUCCUCUAAGCCAAUUCCUGCCACAAACCCUUCCAAGAAGGCAAGGAAGAAAAAUUCGACUAAGAAAAAGAAAAAAUAUUUUGGCAAAAUUCAAGAAGUCGAUGGAAAUGCUGAAAACAAGGCUUCCCAAGUUGAAGGAGUUAUCAGAGACUAGGUGUGCCGACUUCUACACCGAGUUUUGAGGUUUAGGGUGGUGAAAAACAUUCAACUCUCCCCAUAACUUCAAAGAAAGGAGCCAAUAUGGUAAUUCAUGAUAAGAAUGAAGAACAAGCUCGAAAGAAAGCCAAGACUAUCCCAUUAGUUCAGUGGAGGUCUCAUACUUCAGCACAACUUCUUUUGUGAACAACAGUGAAUCAUGCGUGGACUUGUUCGACCAGUUGAAGGGUGGUGUGAAGGAGUUUCCCGCCGUGACUGACUUGAAAGAUCCGGACAUAUAUUGUGAUGUAGCUCGUAUCGGGAUCCAUAUAAGUAAUAUUUUUCUAGCCAUUUUCUUUCUUGCUUAUAUAUGGUAAAUACAUAUCACUUUUGUGCCUUUGAGUACAUUGUUCAUAUCAAUUAUAUGGUUGUCGACUAUGAGGCUACCUUGGCGAAAAAGGAAGAAGACUUGGAGUGCGCAAAGGAGAUUGCUUGAAGGGUACCAAAGGCCUACCAUACACGUCUACAGGACUCGUCGACAGACCGCCGAGGGUGGAAUCUCGGAAACCUUCCUCCAAAAGUCGUUUAAGAUUUGACAACUUUCUAUUUUGGGUAAAUACCGUGUGACUGGUGUUAUACUAUGAGUAGAACUGGAUAGAUAUAAAACUGUCUUGAACCUCAUGCCUGGGAGAAAAUUUCAGCUUAUUAAAACAUAACUAAUACAUUAAUUGUAAGGCAUUUUGGACAUCAAUUAUUCUAUUACAAUAUACUCUCUAUGUUUCACAUGUCUGCCAAAUUGAGUCUUAGAGGUUCUUCGCUCGAUUUCGAUAGAGAAGAAACCUUUGGUUAUUAUCAAUACAAACCACUGUACAUAGUCAAUUCCAAAUAAAAUACAAAACAAAUCUUUUUUAUAUUUUAGAUAUCUCUGAGCUGUACUUUUCGACAUAAAACAUCACACAAUUAAGAAAAUCCAUGUCGUUAUAUAUCAAUUAGUCAAUAGUAAUAUCUCUUUCAAAAUUGGUAUUGGCCGGUGAGUCGGCUCAAUGAAAAUGUAUAAAUAUGUUUUGUUUAUGUAUAUAUAAUUAUUUUCUUCUCUCCAUAUAUAUUUCGAUGAAAACUUGCACAUGUGAGACCAUGUGAAAACCAUGAGACUUCGGUAAAGACAAACUAUUGCAUUCUCCAUUUAUUAUGUAGCAGUGCCUUAAGACAACUCCUUUCAACUCUGUCCCGUGUUGUAAAUACAUUCAUAGACGCAAUUCUUCCUCUGCCCAUUCAAUCCAUAACUAUGUAUAACUACGUUGCGGCUACCAAGGAAAAAUGAGCCACCUAACAAAAAAUGCGUUAAAUAGGCUAUUGGCAUGCCAAUGAGAUAUGGUCUUAAAAUGCCCCGACCAUGUUAUAAUAAACACACACACUCACAUUAAAUGUUACCAUUUACCAAUAUUUGAAAUCGACCGGAGUUGGAUAAUUUUUAUAUUUUUGAUAUUGGAACUUUGGAUAAGAAAAAAAAUAAGUCAAAGACAAAACUAAUAGAUAAUAAAAAUACUGUGCCACUCUCUCUCUUUUCCAUCAUUAGAGUAUCGUGUAUAAAUAAAACCCCACAUGAGCGCCAGCAGAGGACGACACACAUCAACAAUAUAUCAUCACAAUCAAUACUCUCUUUAUUUAGAUGAAGAAGAAGAACUCGGGCGCCAGAUUUUGCGUCCCUCGUGUAAAAACUAACUUAUCAAGAACCACAGCGGGUGACCGGAACAUCAGUGUCACCCCCAUGACUCUCCUAGACCGUUUUCGUGAAGCCGUUCUCCGCAUCAUCAUGAUCUCUGCCCCCUCCAUUCCUACUCCUCACCGUAGUAAGCCGACUAGAGUAAACUCCCAAAAGUACUAUAACUCAACCGACACAUAUCACAAUGAAGCCGUGGCCGACUGUAUCGAGUUUAUCAGGACCAGCAAGGGCUUCUGUUUUGUUGGGCCAUGUCUUUCUACGUCGAGUCCAUUGCAUGCUUUAACCAAUUCAACGUGAUGAAACGCCGCGUUUUUCAUUUGGGUUAACGAGACAUCAUACUCGCAUCUCCAAAGCUAAUGGGGACUUCGGUUGAGCAGCCGAUUUUCGUCUCCUUCUUCGCGAUGUCAGUAACCGAUUUAUCAUCUUUAAGCACUCAAUUAAUUGAUCACCCACGAUCAAGAUUUAAUACGAGAUUUUUCUUAUGCAAGGCGGUGGAGUUCGACAAUAAAAAGGUAUGAUUUCCUAUCUUCAGAAACAUCAUCUCAUUCAUGGUGUAUCUACAUACUUCCACGGCGUCUCACAUACUCCCAAUCUCCACUUCCCAAACCACUCCCUCCGCCGCUCCUUCUUCCGUCGAAUCUCAACCACCCAUCGCAAUCCCUUAAUUCCCGUCUUCAUCAACCGAGUCUCAGAAACUGUCACGAUCGGAUCUUUGUGCUUUUCCUCACCGAUGUUUGAUCUGUUUUUGUCUCGGCUGUGAUGGUCGGAGUCGUGUUGAUCUGUGCUCACCUAGCGUUUAGGGCUCCGAAAGAUCUUUUCUUGGAUGAGGAAGAGCAAGAUCUUUCCUUUCGUUUAUUUUUAAGUUUAAGAUUCAGGAAAUAUCAUUUCUGUUAAAUUUUAUUUGAUUCCUCGAUUGGUGAUUUAAGCUGUGGAUUGAAUCUAGGGUUAGCGUUCCUUUAAAAUUUUGGAUUCUUUAGAUAGUUUUUCAUUAUACUCCAAUUAAAUCCUCCUUAGACCUCUCAUUGUUCUUAUUCAUUACCAAAACUGAGUUUCCCUCUCUUUUGCUACUUAGGUAAUAACUUUGAUGGCUACACGCUUAUAUCUGUUUGUUAAGUGUUAGUGUGAGUCGUCUGUUGAUUGAUUGUUAAUUAAUAAAAGCAAUUGAACUUGAUAACCUUCACGCCAAACAACUAAAAUGGUUCUGUUUUUUUUUCUUACAGGUUAAAAAUUAAUUUUUAAACAAAUUUUUGACGUUUGCAAGAGCUCAACCUGAAGCAUGCAAGACGGAUAUGUUAUUGCAGAGAGGAUAUGACUGUUCACUACAGGUUUGAAUGUCAGGAUAAUCUUGACAAGGGUUUUGAGACCAACACACCUUUCUCUUGGAUCACAUCCAGUUUCAAGGAGGAUGCUUAGUCUGGUGCUACAACUCAGUCUACUCUUUCUCAUGAAUCUGCUGAGUCGGAUUCCCUUUGAAGACAAGUAUCUUAUCCACUCAUGGGCCCUAGGUUGUGUAAUUUUUAAUAGGUGAUCUGUACAUCAUCAUACCGUGUCGUUUAAUUAAAACAUAACAAAGUUUACUGCCUCUUUGUUUGCGUU